CAGCAGUCUGCAACCCGGAAGAGGAACCUCACCAGAAUUCAUGCUGAUACCUUGAUCUCAGACUUCCAGCCUACAGAACUGUGAGAAAUAAAAUUUGUGGCUUACAGGUCACCCAGUCUAUGGUACUUUGUUAUAGCAGUCUGAACUAAGAUAUAAAUCAAAAAUUAAACUGUUUGUCUGCAUUUUCUUGAAUGGGUUCAUAUUUUUAGUUUUCACCACCAUUCCAGGUAAUAAACAGCAUCACUCCUAGUCUUGAAUAACUGCCUUUGGUUGACAAUGUCCAUUCUAAUUUACUCUUACAGAAUACUGUGGUAUUUCCUCUUAAAUACAAUCUUCCAGGGCAAGGCAUGGUAUUCCAGGUAAGAACAGUUAGUUUGUAACUUUUGUAACUUCAAAUAAGGGGGCAGGGUAACGCUUUCCAUUUUGUUUCUGUUUUUCUUAGAUCUACUUCAUUUGUCAACCAUUUUGUUUCUCUCUCUUUUUUUUUUUUUCCUGAAACAGGGUCUUGCUCUGUUGCCCAGGCUGGAGUGCAGUGGCAACAUCUUGGCUCAAUGUAGCCUUGACCUCCCACUUCAGCCUCCACAGUAGCUGAGACUACAGAUAACACACCAACAAUGGAUCCAUUCUAUGGUUUCACAAAGUCAAUCUUGGAGAAAGAACCGCCAAAAGCUGGCACAAGCAGUAGCACCUUUACAGUGGGCAGGAAAACAACCAGAAGUCUUGGGGCUGCAGAGAUCCAGGCCGGCGAGAAGUCCAGAGCAUCAGACAGGAAGAGUUUCCUGGGGGUAGGAACAGUGACUGGCACAUGCGGGAUAAAAGUUCAUGAAAGAAGCCGAAUCGAUUAAAGGAAAUAAAAAGGCAACAUUUUCCUUUGCAUGACUGAUCAUAAUGGGACAUCUUCACUGCUUCCAUCCACGAGAACUUCAGAAUCCAAUGAUCCAGACCAGCCCAGUGCAAUCAACAGUGAGCCAAAUCAAAAAGCAGCCUACAUUCUACCUGAUAAUCCACACACAGGCUGGGAUCUGCUGGGUUCUACUAGGUGAAUUGAAUUGCUCCAUGCCAGUGGAAAAUUUUUUCACAUCAGUUUUUCCUAGUAGAUGUUUAAAAAAUUACAAAGAAUUUUCCAAUCGACCUUACGUGACCUUUUAAAGCAUUUAUUCUAUUUAACUCUAUCUUUAAAACUAUACUCACUAUGGCUCUAUAGUGCUUACACCGAAUAUAUCUGACUUUUAACGUUCUAUCAAUUCAGCCUACUUUUACUGUGCUACUCCUACAUGCUAAAUAUAUGUGACACAUUGCUUGAUACAAGCAGUGAUUUCCAGUGAAGCAGAUGAACCUUACUUUUAAUAAUCUAUUAACAGAAUUGAAUAUAAAGUAACAAAAUUCUUUAAUCAGGAGCAUCCAGGAAGCAAAAAUAUCGAGUACGUUUCCAAACAAGGAAAGAGACAGAAAUGCAAAUACAUAUAUUUAGAAUUAUUGCAGCUAGGCAUCAGUAUGUGCAUCACCUCCAGAAACGGCAAAGAGCCCAGUUACAGGGAUCAGUUCAAAUAUUUAUUGAUCUCUUGCUAGGAGAUGGGCCAGGCAGACUGAUUCUAAAGCACAAAAGAUAGGGCCCUCCCCUAGAGGAGUAUAAAAUGUGUUGUAGGAGACAGAUAUGCACAGUUACUUUCAACAUACUGCAAAAAAAGAAAUACAAGAAACAAGUAGUAGGCCUGAGUCAAGCCUCUGGGCUUGAGUAAUUUCUUCGGGAUGAGAUGUACUCUCUAGCUGAGUUUUCUAGCAGUCGGGAGAUUUAGCCAACCAGUGGUGUGUUAGUAAACUGGCUCUCUGGGGCGGGGAUGAGGGACGUGGGAAGCCAUGACUUAUAAUACAUAUUUGCCAGUUUCCAUGAUAUAAAGCCUCCCACCAUGGCCACUUUCAAGCUACCAACAAUUUAACAACCAGCCUGCUAAAAUCUUGAAAUUAAGAACUGGCUCCCAUAGUCAGUACGUGCUGG
rnacentral:lncRNA from 10 species